GUUUAUGGUCACACUGCCCUGAACAUGCCCAAUCUCGUCUGAUCUCGGAAGCCAAGCAAGGUCAGGCCUGGCUAGUACUUGGAUCAGAUAAAAUAAUCA
ensembl:rRNA 5S_rRNA 5S ribosomal RNA